CCUACGGGCGGCACCAGUGGGGAAUAUUGCACAAUGGGCGCAAGCCUGAUGCAGCCAUGCCGCGUGUAUGAAGAAGGCCUUCGGGUUGUAAAGUACUUUCAGCGGGGAGGAAGGCGAUAAGGUUAAUAACCUCGUUGAUUGACGUUACCCGCAGAAGAAGCACCGGCUAACUCCGUGCCAGCAGCCGCGGUAAUACGGAGGGUGCAAGCGUUAAUCGGAAUUACUGGGCGUAAAGCGCACGCAGGCGGUCUGUCAAGUCGGAUGUGAAAUCCCCGGGCUCAACCUGGGAACUGCAUUCGAAACUGGCAGGCUAGAGUCUUGUAGAGGGGGGUAGAAUUCCAGGUGUAGCGGUGAAAUGCGUAGAGAUCUGGAGGAAUACCGGUGGCGAAGGCGGCCCCCUGGACAA
rnacentral:rRNA from 1 species